rnacentral:lncRNA from 1 species
UUUAAGUCUCCAACACAGUAUAGAUUCCGGAUUACCGGUCUGAGGCUCUGCUUCUUUAAUUAUAGAAUCUGAGAAUUGUUGUAUCACAGUGAUUUACAUAGUGAAAAGGGUAUCGUCUUUGAAUAGUUUUUCAUCCCAUCUUAAGCAGGAAAGUCUUUAGGCUUGUAAUUCUACGAUAGCAUGAAAAUGACCUCAGAUGUAGAGAAGUUGUUUCUUCUGAUUUAAUGCAGCCUCACAGUUUGAACUACUUUAGAGUGCGUGUUUCUAUUAGUUGAAUAGAACGUGACAAGGAUAAAUGGGUAAAAAGGAUGACAAUGCAAACUCUUCAACUAAGUGGUUACUGGUUAGAACUUAAAAGGGUCUAUUUUAUGAAAGUAUUAUUUGUCUGAGACAAUCUUCAUUAAAAAUAAAAUAAAUUUUUUGCUAAGUAUAGGAAUAGGUAAAAAAUUUAGUACGGAUGAACAAAACCAAUCUCAACUUC